ACCCUCGUGGCCAAGAUCUUGGUAAGGGCGCCUAACUGUCAAUUAGGAGAUCGCGGGUUCGAGUCCCGCCGGGGGA
rnacentral:tRNA from 1 species